UACGGAGGGGGCUAGCGUUGUUCGGAAUCACUGGGCGUAAAGGGUGCGUAGGUGGCUUUGCAAGUCAGAUGUGAAAUCCCAUGGCUUAACCAUGGAACUGCAUUUGAAACUGCAGAGCUUGAAUGUCAGAGGGGUGGGCAGAAUUCCUGGUGUAGUGGUGAAAUACGUAGAUAUCAGGAGGAACUCCGGCGGCGAAGGCGGCAUCCUGGACCAGCACUGACACUGAGGCACGAAAGCGUGGGGAGCAAACAGG
rnacentral:rRNA from 1 species